UACAGAGGGUGCAAGCGUUAUUCGGAAUUACUGGGCGUAAAGCGUGCGUAGACGGUAGCGUAAGUCGGGUGUGAAAGCCCCGGGCUCAACCUGGGAAUUGCAUUCGAGACUGCUCUGCUAGGGUGCGGAAGAGGGGAGCGGAAUUUCCGGUGUAGCGGUGAAAUGCGUAGAUAUCGGAAGGAACACCAGUGGCGAAAGCGGCUCCCUGGUCCAGCACCGACGUUCAGGCACGAAAGCGUGGGGAGCAAACAGG
rnacentral:rRNA from 1 species